rnacentral:rRNA from 1 species
GACGAACGCUGGCGGCGUGCUUAACACAUGCAAGUCGAACGGAAAGGCCCUGCUUUUGUGGGGUGCUCGAGUGGCGAACGGGUGAGUAACACGUGAGUAACCUGCCCUUGACUUUGGGAUAACUUCAGGAAACUGGGGCUAAUACCGGAUAGGAGCUCCUGCUGCAUGGUGGGGGUUGGAAAGUUUCGGCGGUUGGGGAUGGACUCGCGGCUUAUCAGCUUGUUGGUGGGGUAGUGGCUUACCAAGGCUUUGACGGGUAGCCGGCCUGAGAGGGUGACCGGCCACAUGGGGCCUGAGAUACGGCCCAGACUCCUACGGGAGGCAGCGGUGGGGAAUAUUGCACAAUGGGCGGAAGCCUGAUGCAGCAACGCCGCGUGCGGGAUGACGGCCUUCGGGUUGUAAACCGCUUUCGCCUGUGACGAAGCGUGAGUGACGGUAAUGGGUAAAGAAGCACCGGCUAACUACGUG